CUGGAAAAUCGGCGGCAGGUCUCGGUCGCCCUGACCCUUGCCUGGUGAAGUGCCGUCCAAGUAUCCAUCCUCGUUUUGGGUCAUUUUCACUGAUUUCAAACGGUUGCUGGAGUACACCACCCUGCAGUGCGUACAGGUGAAUGGUCGAAACCAAAGAGGGACCACCACAAGACGGAGCUAUCGAGCUUCAGAGGAGGAGGGCAUCAGCCCAGAAGGAUGUGGUUACAAAUGAAAGAUCAGCAAAAUUUGGAACCGUGGUUUACUGAAAAAAUAAUGAAGUUUAUUUCUGAAAAACGCUGAGCAUCUGUGUAGAGGAAUACGUACACAACGCUGGAAGAACUCAGUA